rnacentral:rRNA from 1 species
GUCUACGGCCAUACCACCCUGAACAAGCCCAAUGUCUGAUCUCGGAAGCUAAGCAGGGUUGGGCCUGGUUAGCACUUGGAUGGAAGACCAGCUGCUGAAGGCA